GCCAGCAGCCAUAUCACCCUGCAACUCACAGCUGGCAGCCCACUGAAGCUCAGCAGGUGUGAGCCUGGCCAGUACCUGGAUGGGAGUCUCCUGGGAAAAACUAAGGUUGCUGCUGGAA
rfam:Lepisosteus oculatus linkage group LG15, whole genome shotgun sequence.